AACCAUUUAAAUUUUCAUUUUUCUGAUAAAGAAAAUGAACCUUAUAAAAGUGAAAUACUUUAUCUAAAGUCAUAGAAAGAAAGAAUAAAUGGUAAUGACAGUUCCUUUUCUUUUAGCCAAUCUUAAAAAUGAUAUGUCAUUGUUCAUUGAUGAGAAAAAGAUUUGUUUUUGCUUUCUUAGGUAGCAUAUAAGUCUAGUUAUUAAACACUUCUUCAAUCUCACUUCUUACUCUACAUUCUGUUGACAAUUUUAAGUCCUGAGUGUGUUCUUAACAAUCAUGAUGCUAUUGCAUGACAGGUUUUGUCACCAUCCACAAGCAACCAAAAUUGUGCUUAUUGACAUCUGACUAGUGGAUAGCCAAGUUUUAGGAUCUCAUUCAGAAAGUUCAAGUCUUAAAACCUUUGUAUACCCUUUUCCCCAUAUCCUCUCUCAUGUUUAUUAUUACUUGUAGUCUUGAUAACUGCCUUCCUGGUUGGAGUAGGGUAAAAUCUCAGUGCAAUUUUAAUUUGCAUUUCUCUAAUUGCUAGAGAUGUUAAACAGCUUUUCAUAUAUUUGUUGACUGUUCAUAUUCAUUCUUUUGGGUAUAUAUCCAAAAGAGUUAAAAUCAGCGCACUAUAGUGACACAGCCACAUCAAUGUUUAUAGCAGCUCAACUCACGAUAGCUAAGUUAUGGUGUCAACUUAGAUACCCAUCAAGGAUGAAUGGAUAAGGAAACUGUAGUAUAUAUACAAUGGAUGUAUACAUUGAUUAUUACUCUGCCAUAAAGAAGAAUGGCCUUAUGACAUUCACUGGAAAUAGAUGGAUCUGGAGACUAUCAUGUUAAGUGAAAUAAGCCACAUUAAAAAAAACAAACCCAAAGGUAGAAUAUCUUCUUUGAUAUGUGCAAGCUAACCCACGACAAGGGAGAGGAGAAAGAAGUUCAUUGGAUUAGACAAAGGGGAAUGAAUGGAAGGGAGGCAGAUAGAAAUAGGAAAGACUGUGUAAUGAAUCUGGAAUAACUUUCCUAUGUACAUAUAUGAGUAUACCAUAGCAAAUCUCACCAUCAUGUACAUUCACAAUAAUGGGACCCUAAUUAGGAUAAGAUAUAUUC
rnacentral:lncRNA from 1 species